AUCGCGGCCAGAAAGUGGAAUGCACAGUUUGGCAGGUUCUUGAUGUGGCAUUGGGAGAAUCCUUCUGGACCAAGGGCUUUCGAGUUUCU
ensembl:ncRNA K04F10.9 ncRNA